rnacentral:rRNA from 1 species
CCUACGGGUGGCAGCAGUGGGGAAUAUUGCACAAUGGGGGAAACCCUGAUGCAGCGACGCAGCGUGAAGGAUGAAGUAUUUCGGUAUGUAAACUUCUAUCAGUAGGGAAGAAAAUGACAGUACGUGAAUAAGAAGCCCCGGGUAAAUACGUGCCAGCAGCCGCGGUAAUACGUAGGGGGCAAGCGUUAUCCGGAUUUACUGGGUGUAAAGGGAGCGUAGACGGUAUGGCAAGUCUGAGGUGAAAACCCGGGGCUCAACCCGGGGAGUGCAGUGGAAACUGCCGAACUUGAGUGUCGGGGAGGCAAGUGGAAUUCCUAGUGUAGCGGUGAAAUGCGUAGAUAUUAGGAGGAACACCAGUUGCGAAGGCGGCUUGCUGGACGAUGACUGACGUUGAGGCUCGAAAGCGUGGGGAGCGAACAGGAUUAGAUACCCGGGUAGUC